UACCAGCACCCCGAGUGGUCGGGACGAUUAUUGGGCCUAAAGCAUCCGUAGCCGGUCCUACAAGUCUUCCGUUAAAUCCACCUGCUCAACAGAUGGGCUGCGGAAGAUACUAUAGGGCUAGGAGGCGGGAGAGGCAAGCGGUACUCAGUGGGUAGGGGUAAAAUCCUCUGAUCCAUUGAAGACCACCAGUGGCGAAGGCGGCUUGCCAGAACGCGCUCGACGGUGAGGGAUGAAAGCUGGGGGGAGCAAAC
rnacentral:rRNA from 1 species